rnacentral:lncRNA from 1 species
AUGAGGUCCACCCUGGUGACAGGUCACCACAAACCACAGCCACAUCUAGCGAGUGGCACACAUGCCAGAAGCAGAAGGCUUUACCUAGCAGCCCAAAUUGGGGGAAGAAAAAAUUGCACAAGCCUUCAAAGUGUAACAGCUAGUUACAGUAACACCAUUAGGAAAAGGUUAAGUUACAUUAGGAAAGGACACAGGGUUUUUUCCUCCCUGUUCAAAGCAAACAGAGUUGGGAAGAGACUGCUGGCUGAAACGCUGAGCACGGCUCUCAGCAUCCCUCACCUUUCCUUUCUCACCCCCUCGAUUCUGCCGUGCCCGCACCUCCAGCCUUACAAACUGAGCAGGAAGACCCCGAAGGACCCCCCCAAAUUUAAUGCCACGCACUUCUUACAGCACGCCAGGGCAGCACCUACGAGAAAGCGCUACAACCCACCAACCCCGCCUUGCACAACCGAGCAGCCAAGGGCGAAAUUGUGCAACUUGCGCCUAUUUUAUCAAACUCUCGCUGGCUCGGGCCACAGCAGGGGGGGAAACUUCAAAACGCAGAGCCGGCACGGACCCCAAGCCCCAGCUAUCGCUCCGAGGCUCCCCCCAGCAGCUCCUGAGCCCCGUGCCGAGCCGUGCCAAGCCGAGCCGAGCCAGGCAGCCCGUCCCCGGGGCAAGCGACCCAGCAGCACUCCGUAUCCGCAUAGACACGGGGGGCACCCCCCAGCCCCACUCGGGACCACGGUAACAUUACAGCCCACGGUGAAAUUAAGCUACGAGAAGCCCCGCGGAGUUUCAAACCCACCGCCCAACCUGCCGGCUCUCCGCUCCUCCUCCUCCUCUUCCUCGCCCCUUCGCCUCUCGCUCACCACCCGGUGCCUGCAGGGCGCGGAGCGGCGAGGACACCCGCGGCGUCUGCCGGGCGGCGGCUCCGUCCCCCCGCUCUUGUUUGCACUUCCGUCUGCUGCUGCUCCUCCCCCGGCACGGCAAGGCUCGGUUUGGCUCAGCACGGCUUGGCUCAGCUGGGCUCAGCACGGCAGGGACGGGGGCAGGGGCGGGGCGCGCCCGGAGAGGGGCGCGGAGCUGGAAAUCCUCAAAUGCACCGCUGCCAGGCGGCCUUGGAGUUCAUUAUUAUUAUUAAUUAUAAAUAAUAAACAUUUUUGA